rnacentral:rRNA from 1 species
UGAACGCUGGCGGCGUGCCUAAUACAUGCCAGUCGAGCGACCAGACGCGGAGCUUGCUCCUCUGACGUUAGCGGCGGACGGGUGAGUAACACGCGGAUAACCUACCUAUAAGACUGGGAUAACUUCGGGAAACCGGAGCUAAUACCGGAUAAUAUAUUGAACCGCAUGGUUCAAUAGUGAAAGACGGUUUUGCUGUCACUUAUAGAUGGAUCCGCGCCGCAUUAGCUAGUUGGUAAGGUAACGGCUUACCAAGGCAACGAUGCGUAGCCGACCUGAGAGGGUGAUCGGCCACACUGGAACUGAGACACGGUCCAGACUCCUACGGGAGGCAGCAGUAGGGAAUCUUCCGCAAUGGGCGAAAGCCUGACGGAGCAACGCCGCGUGAGUGAUGAAGGUCUUCGGAUCGUAAAACUCUGUUAUUAGGGAAGAACAAAUGUGUAAGUAACUAUGCACGUCUUGACGGUACCUAAUCAGAAAGCCACGGCUAACUACGUG